rnacentral:rRNA from 1 species
CGGGUGAGUAACGCGUGAGAAUNUNCNNNNNNNUNGGGGACANNCNCUGGAANCGGUGGNUAAUNNNNNAUAAGCCUGCGGGUAANAGNNNNNUUGCCAAGAGAGGAGCUCGCGUCUGAUUAGCUAGUUGGUGAGGUAAAGGCUCACCAAGGCGGCGAUCAGUAGCUGGUCUGAGAGGAUGACCAGCCACACUGGGACUGAGACACGGCCCAGACUCCUACGGGAGGCAGCAGUGGGGAAUUUUCCGCAAUGGGCGAAAGCCUGACGGAGCAAGACCGCGUGAGGGAGGAAGGCUCUUGGGUUGUAAACCUCUUUUGUCAGGGAAGAACACAAUGACGGUACCUGAAGAAUCAGCAUCGGCUAACUCCGUGCCAGCAGCCGCGGUAAUACGGAGGAUGCAAGCGUUAUCCGGAAUUAUUGGGCGUAAAGCGUCCGCAGGUGGCGCUUCAAGUCUGCUGUCAAAGACCGGGGCUUAACCCUGGAAAGGCAGUGGAAACUGAAGCGCUAGAGUGUGGCAGGGGUAGAGGGAAUUCCCGGUGUAGCGGUGAAAUGCGUAGAGAUCGGGAAGAACAUCGGUGGCGAAAGCGCUCUACUGGNNCACAACUGACAC